CUCAUGACAUUCCACCACAAAAGAAGUGUAAAUGGCCCGUCCUUGCCUUAACUGAUGACAUUACCUUGUGAAAGUCCUUUUCCUGGCUCAUCCUGGCUCAAAAAUCACCCCCACUGAGCACCUUGCGACCCCCACUCCUGCCUGCCAGAGAAUAAACCCCCUUUGACUGUAAUUUUCAUUUACCUACCCAAAUCCUAUAAAAUGGCCCCACCCUUAUCUCCCUUCACUGACUCUCUUUUUGGACUCAGCCCACCUGCACCCAGGUGAUUAAAAGCUUUAUUGCUCACACAAAGCCUGUUUGGUGGUCUCUUCACAUGGACGUGCAUGAAAUUUGGUGCCGUGACUCAGAUCGGGGGACCUCCCUUGGGAGAUCAAUCCCGUGUCCUCCUGUUCUUUGCUCCGUGAGAAAGAUCCACCUAUGACUGCAGGUCCUCAGACCGACCAGCCCAAGGAACAUCUCACCAAUUUUAAAUCAGAUCUUCUCAACUUAGCGGCUGAAGACUGACACUGCCCGAUCGCCUCGGAAGCCCCCUAGACCAUCACGGACGCCGAGCUUCGGGUAACUCUCACAGUGGAAGGUAAGCCCGUCCCCUUCUUAAUCAAUACAGAGGCUACCCACUCCACAUUACCUUCUUUUCAAGGGCCUGUUUCCCUUGCCUCCAUAACUGUUGUAGGUAUUGGUGGCCAGGCUUCUAAACCUCUUAAGACUCCCCAACUCUGGUGCCAACUUAGACAAUACUCUUUUAAGCACUCCUUUUUAGUUAUCCCCACCUGCCCAGUUCCCUUAUUAGGCCGAGACACUUUAACUAAAUUAUCUGCUUCCCUGACUAUUUCUGGACUACAGCUGCAUCUCAUUGCCGCCCUUCUUCCCAAUCCAAAGCCUCAUUUGCGUCCUCCUCUUGUAUCCCCCCACCUUAACCCACAAGUAUAAGACACCUCUACUCCCUCCUUGGCGACCGAUCAUGCACCCCUUACCAUCUCAUUAAAACCUAAUCACCCUUACCCCACUCAAUGCCAAUAUCCCAUCCUGAAGCACGCUUUAAAAAGAUUAAAGCCUGUUAUCACUUGCCUGCUACAGCAUGGCCUUUUAAAGCCUACAAACUC